GACGAACGCUGGCGGCGUGCUUAACACAUGCAAGUCGAACGGAAAGGCCCUGCUUUUGUGGGGUGCUCGAGUGGCGAACGGGUGAGUAACACGUGAGUAACCUGCCCUUGACUUUGGGAUAACUUCAGGAAACUGGGGCUAAUACCGGAUAGGAGCUCCUGCUGCAUGGUGGGGGUUGGAAAGUUUCGGCGGUUGGGGAUGGACUCGCGGCUUAUCAGCUUGUUGGUGGGGUAGUGGCUUACCAAGGCUUUGACGGGUAGCCGGCCUGAGAGGGUGACCGGCCACAUUGGGACUGAGAUACGGCCCAGACUCCUACGGGAGGCAGCAGUGGGGAAUAUUGCACAAUGGGCGGGAGCCUGAUGCAGCAACGCCGCGUGCGGGAUGACGGCCUUCGGGUUGUAAACCGCUUUCGCCUGUGACGAAGCGUGAGUGACGGUAAUGGGUAAAGAAGCACCGGCUAACUACGU
rnacentral:rRNA from 1 species